UAGAGUUUGAUCCUGGCUCAGAUUGAACGCUGGCGGCAGGCCUAACACAUGCAAGUCGAGCGGAUGAAGGGAGCUUGCUCCCUGAUUUAGCGGCGGACGGGUGAGUAAUGCCUAGGAAUCUGCCUGGUAGUGGGGGAUAACGUUCCGAAAGGAACGCUAAUUACCGGCAUACGAUCCUACGGGGGAAAGCAGGGGACCUUCGGGCCUUGCGCUAUCAGAUGAGCCUAGGUCGGAUUAGCUAGUUGGUGAGGUAAUGGCUCACCAAGGCGACGAUCCGUAACUGGUCUGAGAGGAUGAUCAGUCACACUGGAACUGAGACACGGUCCAGACUCCUACGGGAGGCAGCAGUGGGGAAUAUUGGACAAUGGGCGAAAGCCUGAUCCAGCCAUGCCGCGUGUGUGAAGAAGGUCUUCGGAUUGUAAAGCACUUUAAGUUGGGAGGAAGGGCAGUAAGCUAAUACCUUGCUGUUUUGACGUUACCGACAGAAUAAGCACCGGCUAACUUCGUGCCAGCAGCCGCGGUAAUACGAAGGGUGCAAGCGUUAAUCGGAAUUACUGGGCGUAAAGCGCGCGUAGGUGGUUCGUUAAGUUGGAUGUGAAAGCCCCGGGCUCAACCUGGGAACUGCAUCCAAAACUGGCGAGCUAGAGUACGGUAGAGGGUGGUGGAAUUUCCUGUGUAGCGGUGAAAUGCGUAGAUAUAGGAAGGAACACCAGUGGCGAAGGCGACCACCUGGAC
rnacentral:rRNA from 1 species